rnacentral:rRNA from 1 species
AACGAACGCUGGCGGCGUGUUUAAGACAUGCAAGUCGCACGGUGUCAUUUUGGUAGCAAUACUUGGAUGGCACAGUGGCGCACGGGUGAGUAACACGUGAAUGACAUGCCCUUCAGAGGGGGAUAGCCCAGGGAAACUUGGAUUAAUACCCCAUGGUCUCGCGAGAGUAAAGGUGGCCGCAAGGCUGUCGCUGGAGGAUUGGUUCGCGUUCUAUCAGCUUGUUGGCGGGGUAACGGCCCACCAAGGCUACGACGGAUACCUGGGCUGAGAGGACGAUCAGGCACACUGGAACUGAGACACGGUCCAGACACCUACGGGUGGCAGCAGUCGAGAAUAAUUCACAAUGGGGGCAACCCUGAUGGUGCAACGCCGCGUGGAGGAUGAAGGUCUUCGGAUUGUAAACUCCUGUCAUCCGGGAGCAAGACCUGGCCGUGAAUAGCGGACAGGGUUGAUAGUACCGGAAGAGGAUGGGACGGCUAACUUCGUGCCAGCCGCCGCCGUAAGAC